UACGGAGGAGGCAAGCGUUAUCCGGAAUUAUUGGGCGUAAAGCGUCCGCAGGUGGCGAUUCAAGUCUGCGGUCAAAGACUGGGGCUUAACCCUGGAAAGGCCGUGGAAACUGAAUAGCUAGAGUGCAGUAGGGGUAGAGGGAAUUCCCGGUGUAGCGGUGAAAUGCGUAGAGCUCGGGAAGAACACCGGUGGCGAAAGCGUUCUGCUAGACCUGUACUGACACUGAGGGACGAAAGCUAGGGGAGCGAAUGGG
rnacentral:rRNA from 1 species